CUCCACUCGUAGUUCUUCGCGAAGUUGAUGACGUUUGGUCGCUCUCGGAUUCCGUAGCAGCACAACAAGUGUUUCUGUAACGACCUUCUCGUCGACCACCACCAGGGAAUCCACUGCGACUGCAAAACGUCACACUUGGCCUAAGCAGAAUGCACCAUGAUAUGUGACCACCAUGCCAAAUACAGGGCCAGAUGCGGCCCUCAGCGCUGCUUUAUGGAUUCCAAUAGUUAAUGGACCGCAGACGAUGAUUGCUGAGAGCAUGGAUGUACCUCUGAUGGACCAGAUCAACCUGUGGAGCAGCAGCACUGUUGAGGAUGGUUCUGCAGUUGUAGACAAAGACACUGGACGAUAUCGGAUGAUAUGUAUAUCUUGAAGACAUGUUGAAAAAGAUUUGUCUUCUCAACGACUUCAAAAUAACAUUUAAAAUGUCAGUAUGUUUGUUUACAGUAAUGUUUGUUUGUUUUUUUAUGGCUACUCCGAUUUUGUACUUUUUAAAUUCCUUUUCUAUUUUUUCCUCUGAUAUUGUUGUAUAAUAUUAUAUGUAAAACCGAGAUCAGACAAUACUUUAUGCAUAUGUUUUCUAUUUCAGUAAAAGGUCAAUAAUAAAUCACAACAUGUUUAA